rnacentral:rRNA from 1 species
UACAGAGGUCUCAAGCGUUUGUUCGGAUUCAUUGGGCGUAAAGGGUGCGUAGGUGGCGCGGUAAGUCGGGUGUGAAAUCUCGGAGCUUAACUCCGAAACUGCAUUCGAUACUGCCGUGCUUGAGGACUGGAGAGGAGACUGGAAUUUACGGUGUAGCGGUGAAAUGCGUAGAUAUCGUAAGGAAGACCAGUGGCGAAGGCGGGUCUCUGGACAGUUCCUGACACUGAGGCACGAAGGCCAGGGGGAGCAAAACGGGG